rnacentral:rRNA from 1 species
UACGAAGGGGGCUAGCGUUGUUCGGAAUUACUGGGCGUAAAGCGCACGUAGGCGGAUACUUAAGUCAGGGGUGAAAUCCCGGGGCUCAACCCCGGAACUGCCUUUGAUACUGGGUAUCUCGAGUCCGGAAGAGGUGAGUGGAAUUCCGAGUGUAGAGGUGAAAUUCGUAGAUAUUCGGAGGAACACCAGUGGCGAAGGCGGCUCACUGGUCCGGUACUGACGCUGAGGUGCGAAAGCUAGGGGAGCAAACGGG